rnacentral:rRNA from 1 species
UACAGAGGGUGCGAGCGUUAAUCGGAAUUACUGGGCGUAAAGCGUACGUAGGCGGUUAUUUAAGUCGGAUGUGAAAUCCCCGGGCUCAACCUGGGAAUUGCAUUCGAUACUGGAUAGCUAGAGUUCGGCAGAGGGAAGCGGAAUUUCCGGUGUAGCGGUGAAAUGCGUAGAUAUCGGAAGGAACAUCAGUGGCGAAAGCGGCUUCCUGGACCAGAACUGACGCUCAGGUACGAAAGCGUGGGGAGCAAACAGG